UGGGGAAUAUUGGACAAUGGGGGCAACCCUGAUCCAGCAAUGCCGCGUGUGUGAAGAAGGCCUGAGGGUUGUAAAGCACUUUCAGUGGGGAGGAGGAUUGACAGGUUAAGAGCUGGUCAAUUGGACGUUACCCACAGAAGAAGCACCGGCUAACUCCGUGCCAGCAGCCGCGGUAAUACGGAGGGUGCGAGCGUUAAUCGGAAUUACUGGGCGUAAAGGGUGCGUAGGUGGUUUGGUAAGUUAUCUGUGAAAUUCCUGGGCUUAACCUGGGACGGUCAGAUAAUACUGCUGAACUCGAGUGUGGGAGAGGGUAGUGGAAUUUCCGGUGUAGCGGUGAAAUGCGUAGAGAUCGGAAGGAACACCAGUGGCGAAGGCGGCUACCUGGCCCAACACUGACACU
rnacentral:rRNA from 1 species